UACGUAGGGUGCAAGCGUUGUCCGGAAUUAUUGGGCGUAAAGAGCUCGUAGGCGGUUUGUCGCGUCUGCUGUGAAAACCCGAGGCUCAACCUCGGGCCUGCAGUGGGUACGGGCAGACUAGAGUGCGGUAGGGGAGAUUGGAAUUCCUGGUGUAGCGGUGAAAUGCGCAGAUAUCAGGAGGAACACCGGUGGCGAAGGCGGGUCUCUGGGCCGAUACUGACGCUGAGGAGCGAAAGCGUGGGGAGCAAACAGG
rnacentral:rRNA from 1 species